rnacentral:rRNA from 1 species
GAUGAACGCUAGCGGCAGGCCUAACACAUGCAAGUCGAGGGGUAGAACACUUCGGUGUUUGAGACCGGCGCACGGGUGCGUAACGCGUAUGCAAUCUACCUUGUACAGGGGAAUAGCCCGGAGAAAUUUGGAUUAAUGCCCCAUAGUAUAUAACCUUCGCAUGUUGGUUAUAUUAAAGUUCCAACGGUACAAGAUGAGCAUGCGUCCCAUUAGUUAGUUGGUAAGGUAACGGCUUACCAAGACGAUGAUGGGUAGGGGUCCUGAGAGGGAGAUCCCCCACACUGGUACUGAGACACGGACCAGACUCCUACGGGAGGCAGCAGUGAGGAAUAUUGGUCAAUGGGCGCAAGCCUGAACCAGCCAUGCCGCGUGCAGGAAGACGGUCCUAUGGAUUGUAAACUGCUUUUAUACAGGAAGAAACAACUCUACGUGUAGAGUCUUGACGGUACUGUAGGAAUAAGGAUCGGCUAACUCCGUGCCAGCCGCCGCGGUAAUAC